rnacentral:tRNA from 1 species
AUGUUGGUGGUAUAAUGGUGAGUAUAGCUGCUUUCCAAAGAGUUGACCUGAGUUCAAUUCCCAGUCAACACA